CGUGCGGAUCGGACCAUCGCUCCGUCGUUCCUGCCCGAUUGGAACCCGUUCCGAUCCGCGCAGGUGAGGCGGUGAGGAAAGUCCGAACACCGCAGGGCACCGCGCUUCCUAACGGGAAGGCGUGCCGAAUAGUCUGUUCCGACGACCGUUGGGACCUUCGGCACGACGGCACGUGCAACAGAGAACAGUCCUGCCCCGACUUGCUUGCCCCGACGCCGGGGCCACCGGGGUGAAGGGUGCAAGGGUGCGGUAAGAGCGUACCGGCGUCCCUGGCGACAGGGGCGGCCCGGCAAACCCCGCGGGGUGAAAGGCCAAGUAGCACCGGGCACCGACGCCGUCGGUGCAUAAGGUUGCCCGCCGAAUCAUCGGUGCAGGUAGGCCGCUAGAGGCGCUCGGUGACGGGCGUCCCAGAUAGAUGAUGGUCUCCCUGCAUGCCGGACACGUCUCCGGGCGCAGGCAGACCGGAUUCGGCUUAUAGAUCUGCACGCUUU
rnacentral:RNase_P_RNA from 1 species